rnacentral:rRNA from 1 species
ACGGCUCAGUAACACGUGAUCAACUUACCCUAUAGAGAAAAAUAACCUCGGGAAACUGAGGAUAAUGUUUCAUAAUUGAAUUGGCUUGGAAAAGUUUUUCAAUGAAAAGGAUAAAAAUAAUGGUUUUUAUCUGCUAUAGGAUAGGAUCGUGUUCGAUUAUGGUUGUUGGUGAGAUAAUGGCUCACCAAGCCGAUAAUCGAUAGGGGCCGUGAGAGCGGGAGCCCCGAGAUGGGUACUGAGACAACGACCCAGGCCUUACGAGGCGCAGCAGGCGCGGAACCUCCGCAAUACACGAAAGUGUGACGGGGUUACCCAAAGUGUUCAAUAGAACUGUGGUAGGUGAGUAAUGUCCCCUACUAGAAAGGAGAGGGCAAGGCUGGUGCCAGCCGCCGCGGUAAAACCAGCUCUUCAAGAGGUCGGGAUAAUUAUUGGGCUUAAAGUGUCCGUAGCCGGUUUAGUAAGUUCCUGGUAAAAUCGGGUAGCUUAACUAUCUGCAUGCUAGGAAUACUGCUAUACUAGAGGGCGGGAGAGGUCUGAGGUACUACAGGGGUAGGGGUGAAAUCUUAUAAUCCUUGUAGGACCACCAGUGGCGAAGGCGUCAGACUGGAACGCGCCUGACGGUGAGGGACGAAAGCCAGGGGAGCGAACCGGAUUAGAUACCCGGGUAGUCCUGGCCGUAAACGAUGCAUACUAGGUGAUGGUACGGCCAUGAGCCGUAUCAGUGCCGUAGGGAAACCGCUAAGUGUGCCGCCUGGGAAGUACGGUCGCAAGGCUAAAACUUAAAGGAAUUGGCGGGGGAGCACCACAAGGGGUGAAGCCUGCGGUUCAAUUGGAUUCAACGCCGG